rnacentral:misc_RNA from 1 species
GUAGGUGAACCUGCGGAAGGAUCAUUUCUGAAUUUUGGGUUUUUAGGGCUUGGUUCAAGGACUUGUAAAAGAGUUUUUUGUCCUCGCUUUAAAAAUCUAAAUAAAGAGAGUGUGUGGUAUAUACGAGUAAGUAGGGAACUUCCUUUUUUGGUUGUUCCUUAUUUCUUUCUUUUAUACAAAAACAAAAACCAAGGUUACUAUUAUGAUUUAAAAAAAUAUUUGAUCCGACUUUAGUCCUUAAAACCGAUUAAAGAAGGUGAAAAGCCAAAUAAAAAGAUUACAACUGUCAACGGUGGAUCUCUUGGCUCGU